GGUCAAGCGAACAAGGGCGCAGGGCGAAUGCCUUGGCACUGGGAGCCGAUGAAAGACGUGAUAAGCUGCGAUAAGCUUCGGGGAGCUGCAAAUAAGCAUUGAUCCGGAGAUUUCUGAAUGAGGAAACUCACCUGGGUUCAUACUCAGGUACGUUAUACUGAACUUCAAAAUAGGUAUAUCGAGGGAACCGCCUGAACUGAAACAUCUAAGUAGGGCGAGGAAGAGACAUCAAACGAGAUUCCGUAAGUAGUGGCGAGCGAACGCGGAAGAGGGCAAACCGAGAGUAGAAAUACUUUCGGGGUACGGACUGCUUUUAGGACUUAAUCUGUUAACCGAACGGCAUGGGAAGGCCGGUCAGAGAGUGUGAGAACCACGUAGGUGAAAACGGAGAGAGCUGCGCAGGAUCCAGAGUACGGCCAGACACGUGAAACCUGGUCGGAAUAUGGGGGGACCACCCUCCAACCCUAAAUACUACCCAGUGACCGAUAGCGUAUAGUACUGUGAAGGAAAGGUGAAAAGCACCCCGGGAGGGGAGUGAAAAAGAACCUGAAACCCUGUGCCUACAAGCACCUAGAGCGCGUCAAUGCGUGAUAGGGUACUUUUUGUAGAACGGUCCGGCGAGCGAUUGUAUGCAGCAAGGUUAAGGACUUAAGGUCUGGAGCCGAAGCGAAAGCGAGUUUGAAAAGGGCGUUAAGUUGCAUAUAAUGGGCCCGAAACCGGGUGACCUACCCAUGGUCAGGUUGAAGUGGAAGUAAAAUUCCAUGGAGGACCGAACCGACCUCCGUUGAAAAGGCGGCGGAUGAACUGUGGGUAGCGGAGAAAUUCCAAUCGAACCCGGAGAUAGCUGGUUCUCCCCGAAAUAGUUUUAGGACUAGCCUCAAGUUAGAUACCUGGAGGUAAAGCACUGAAUAGCCUAGCGGCCGAGAGGUUAGCGAAGCUUAUCAAACUCAGAAUGCCAGAGUAUUGAUGCUUGGGAGUCAGACAGUGUCAGAUAAAUGUCAUUGUCAAAAGGGAAACAGCCCAGAUCUACAGCUAAGGUCCCAAAGUCAGGUUAAGUGGAAAACGAUGUGAAGAUACGUAGACAACCAGGAUGUUGGCUCAGAAGCAGCCACUCAUUCAAAGAGUGCGUAAUAGCUCACUGGUCGAGCGUCUUUGCGCGGAGAAUUUAACGGGGCUAAACCUGACACCGAAGCUUAGGCAGCAUGAUUACAUGCUGGGUAGGGGAGCGUUGUAUACGCGGUGAAACAGUAGCGCAAGCGGCUGUGGAGUGUAUAGAAGUGAGAAUGCCGGAAUGAGUAGCGCGAAUGCAGUGAGAAUCUGCAUGGCCGAAAGCCUCAGGUUUCUGGAGGAAGGUUCGUCCGCUCCAGGUCAGUCGGGAGCUAAGGUGAGGCCUAACGGCGUAGCCGAUGCACAGACGGUAGAGAUUCCGUCACCACCAAAAGAGUUAAACACAGGGACACAUAUGAAGUCUCGGAGCCGGGUGUUGGUUCCGGUAGCGAUCGAGGGAAGUUAGUACCGAAGUCUGAGAUGGAAGAUGGCGAGAAAAGCUGUGUGAAUUUCUGCGGUGCCCGUACCGCAAACCGACACAGGUAGGUAGGAAGAAGAUUCUAAGGCCAACGGGAGAAGGGUUGUUAAGGAACUCGGCAAAUUGACCCCGUAACUUCGGGAGAAGGGGUGCUGCAGCAAUGCAGCCGCAGAGAAUCGGCCCAAGCAACUGUUUACCAAAAACACAGGUUUGUGCUAAAUCGAAAGAUGACGUAUACGAGCUGACGCCUGCCCGGUGCUGGAAGGUUAAGAGGAGAUGUGCAAGCAUUGAAUCGAAGCCCCAGUGAACGGCGGCCGUAACUAUAACGGUCCUAAGGUAGCGAAAUUCCUUGUCAGGUAAGUUCUGACCCGCAUGAAAGGCGUAAUGAUUUGGGCACUGUCUCAACAGCCCGCCCGGCGAAAUUGUAGUACCGGUGAAGAUGCCGGUUACCCGCGACAAGACGGAAAGACCCCAUGGAGCUUUACUGUAGCCUAAUAUUGGGUUUCGAUGUUGCAUGCACAGGAUAGAUGGGACACUGGGAAGCAGGUGCUUUGGCGCUUGUGGAGUGGCCGUUGGGAUACCAUCCUUGCGAUAUUGGAAUUCUAACCUGCGCCUUUGAAUCAAGGCGGGGGACAUUGUUAGGUGGGCAGUUUGACUGGGGCGGUCGCCUCCUAAAGAGUAACGGAGGCGUUCAAAGGUUCGCUCAGCUUGAACGGAAAUCAAGCAAAAGAGUGCAAACGCAGAAGCGAGCCUAACUGCGAGACUGACGGGUCGAGCAGUAACGAAAGUUGGAGUUAGUGAUCCGGUGGUAUGUGAGUGGAAAUGCCAUCGCUCAACGGAUAAAAGUUACCCUGGGGAUAACAGGCUGAUCUCCCCCAAGAGUCCACAUCGACGGGGAGGUUUGGCACCUCGAUGUCGGCUCAUCGCAUCCUGGGGCUGUAUUCGGUCCCAAGGGUUUGGCUGUUCGCCAAUUAAAGCGGUACGCGAGCUGGGUUCAGAACGUCGUGAGACAGUUCGGUCCCUAUCUGUCGUGGGCGCAGGAUAUUUGAUGGGAGCUGUUCCUAGUACGAGAGGACCGGAGCGGACGUACCUCUGGCGCACCAGUUGUUCUGCCAAGAGCAUAGCUGGGCAACUAUGUACGGAUCGGAUAAACGCUGAAAGCAUCUAAGCGUGAAGCCGACCCAAAGAUAAGAUAUCCCAUUGUUUCAAACAAGUAAGACCCCUUGAAGACUACAAGGUUGAUAGGCACGAUGUGUAAGUGGAGCGAUCCAUUCAGCAAGCGUGUACUAAUAGGUCGAGGGCUUGACCAC
rnacentral:rRNA from 1 species